GACGAACGCUGGCGGCGUGCUUAACACAUGCAAGUCAAGGGGGUCUUGGGGGUAACCCGUGGGGCAACCGGCGAACGGGUGCGUAACACGUGAGCGACCUACCGCGGUGCGGGGGAUAGCCGGCCCAACGGCCGGGUAAUACCGCAUACGUUCUUUUGGGGGCAUCCCUGGGAGAGGAAACCUGCGAGGUAAGACUCGUGGGGCAGCGCGCGGGGCUCGCGGCCUAUCAGCUAGUUGGCGGGGUAACGGCCCACCAAGGCGANGACGGGUAGCUGGUCUGAGAGGAUGGCCAGCCACAUUGGGACUGAGAGACGGCCCAGACUCCUACGGGAGGCAGCAGUGGGGAAUCUUGCGCAAUGGCCGAAAGGCUGACGCAGCGACGCCGCGUGGAGGAUGACGCCUCGGU
rnacentral:rRNA from 1 species